rnacentral:rRNA from 1 species
UACGUAGGGUGCAAGCGUUGUCCGGAAUUAUUGGGCGUAAAGAGCUCGUAGGCGGUCUGUCGCGUCGGAUGUGAAAACUCGGGGCUCAACCCCGGGCCUGCAUUCGAUGCGGGCAGACUAGAGUACGGCAGGGGAGACUGGAAUUCCUGGUGUAGCGGUGAAAUGCGCAGAUAUCAGGAGGAACACCGAUGGCGAAGGCAGGUCUCUGGGCCACUACUGACGCUGAGGAGCGAAAGCGUGGGGAGCGAACAGG